rnacentral:misc_RNA from 1 species
CCCGUCGCCACCACGCAAUGCCCAGCAGCACAAACGGCAACAUCACCACUGCCGUCUUGCUCAGCAGCGCCAACACAAAGGUUCCCACGCUCAGGCAGUACAAUCGUUGCCGGCUCUGAUCCUCGAAUCUUAAAUACAUCAGCACAGUCAAUGCAUAGAAAAACAUCGCGAGGGUGUUUUUCCGCUCCGCGAUCCAGGCCACGGACUGCACAUUCACAGGAUGCACAGCAAAGAUCGCGGCCGCGAGCCAGGCUCCGGGGAUCUUGAGCUUGGUAAGGAUCCGCCACAACAGCACCGAACUUAGUGCAUGCAAAAGCACAUUGACCAAGUGAUAACCGAGCGGGUUAUUCCCCCAGAGGCGCCAUUCCAGCCACCAAGUUGUCGAGGUGA